rnacentral:tRNA from 1 species
AGUGAAGUGCCUGAAUAAAGGACAAUUUUGAUAGAAUUGAUCAUGCGAUCCUCCGCCUUCAUUA